UGGGGAAUCUUGGACAAUGGGGGCAACCCUGAUCCAGCCAUGCCGCGUGAGUGAUGAAGGCCUUAGGGUCGUAAAGCUCUUUCGCCUGUGAAGAUAAUGACGGUAGCAGGUAAAGAAACCCCGGCUAACUCCGUGCCAGCAGCCGCGGUAAUACGGAGGGGGUUAGCGUUGUUCGGAAUUACUGGGCGUAAAGGGCGUGUAGGCGGAUCGGUCAGUCAGUGGUGAAAGCCCCGGGCUCAACCUGGGAAUUGCCUCUGAUACUGCCGAUCUAGAGUCCGGGAGAGGGUAGUGGAAUUCCCAGUGUAGAGGUGAAAUUCGUGGAUAUUGGGAAGAACACCAGUGGCGAAGGCGGCUACCUGGACCGGUACUGACGCUGAGGCGCGAAAGCGUGGGGA
rnacentral:rRNA from 1 species